rnacentral:rRNA from 1 species
UUGGGCGAGUGAAGCGGCAACAGCUCAAAUUUGAAAUCUGGCUCAAUUAGAGUCCGAGUUGUAAUUUGCAGAGGGCGCUUUGGCUUUGGCAGCGGUCCAAGUUCCUUGGAACAGGACGUCACAGAGGGUGAGAAUCCCGUACGUGGUCGCUGGCUAUUGCCGUGUAAAGCCCCUUCGACGAGUCGAGUUGUUUGGGAAUGCAGCUCUAAAUGGGAGGUACAUUUCUUCUAAAGCUAAAUAUUGGCCAGAGACCGAUAGCGCACAAGUAGAGUGAUCGAAAGAUGAAAAGCACUUUGGAAAGAGAGUCAAACAGCACGUGAAAUUGUUGAAAGGGAAGCGCUUGCAGCCAGACUUGCUUGCAGUUGCUCAUCCGGGCUUUUGCCCGGUGCACUCUUCUGCAGGCAGGCGAGCAUCAGUUUGGGCGGUAAGAUAAACCUCUCUGUCACGUACCUCACUUCGGGGAGGCCUUAUAGGGGAGACGACAUAUUACCAGCGUGGACUCAGGUCCGCGCAUCUGCUAGGAUGCUGGCGUAAUGGCUGUAAGCGGCCCGUCUUGAAACACGGACCAAGGAGUGUAACAUCUAUGCGUCAGUUUGGCUGUCAAGCCCGAGGGCGUAAUGAAAGUGAACGGAGGUAGGAACCGGCAAGGGUGCACUAUCGACCGAUCCUGAUGUCUUCGGAAGGAUUUGAGUAAGAGCAUGGCUGUUGGGACCCGAUUGAUGGUGAACUAUGCUUGAAAAGGGUGAAGCCAGAGGAAACUCUGGUGGAGGCUCGCAGCGGUUUGA